UCCUUUGAUGGUUCAGUGGUAAAGUUUUUGCUCUUCCACAUAAGAUGCCUAGGUUUAAAUCCUAGUAGGGUA